rnacentral:sRNA from 1 species
UCCUUGGUGUUCGGGGCCGGGGUCGC